GUGGGUAGUUUGACUGGGGCGGUCUCCUCCUAAAGAGUAACGGAGGAGCACGAAGGUUGGCUAAUCCUGGUCGGACAUCAGGAGGUUAGUGCAAUGGCAUAAGCCAGCUUGACUGCGAGCGUGACGGCGCGAGCAGGUGCGAAAGCAGGUCAUAGUGAUCCGGUGGUUCUGAAUGGAAGGGCCAUCGCUCAACGGAUAAAAGGUACUCCGGGGAUAACAGGCUGAUACCGCCCAAGAGUUCAUAUCGACGGCGGUGUUUGGCACCUCGAUGUCGGCUCAUCACAUCCUGGGGCUGAAGUAGGUCCCAAGGGUAUGGCUGUUCGCCAUUUAAAGUGGUACGCGAGCUGGGUUUAGAACGUCGUGAGACAGUUCGGUCCCUAUCUGCCGUGGGCGCUGGAGAACUGAGGGGGGCUGCUCCUAGUACGAGAGGACCGGAGUGGACGCAUCACUGGUGUUCGGGUUGUCAUGCCAAUGGCACUGCCCGGUAGCUAAAUGCGGAAGAGAUAAGUGCUGAAAGCAUCUAAGCACGAAACUUGCCCCGAGAUGAGUUCUCCCUGAGACUUAGAGUCUCCUGAAGGAACGUUGAAGACGACGACGUUGAUAGGCCGGGUGUGUAAGCGCAGCGAUGCGUUGAGCUAACCGGUACUAAUGAA
rnacentral:rRNA from 2 species